GUUUACAGAGCUACCCAAGCAUAUGAGGUUUUCAGUUACCCAGAGGAGCGUGAGAUAUAUGAUCAAUAUGAUGAAGAUGCUUUGAAGGAAGCACUUCUGUCUCCAUGAACUUACCUUCAAUACAUCGUCGGACUAUUAUUGGUGCAUUAAAAACUUGAAUAUCUAUGUCCACGUAGUAACAAAAGGAAAAGUAGACAGAGAAAAAGAAAAGACGUUCACUGUCUUAAAGUUUCUCUAGAGGAUCUUUACAGUGGGACUGCCAAAAAGCUAUCCCUUUGCGCGUAAUGUGAUAUUGUGAUCUGCUCUAAGUGCAAGGGAUGCAAAUUUCCAUGAGACGUCUAGGACCUUCUAUGAUCCAACGAAUGAUGCCAGUAUGCCACCAUGUAACGAAUAUAUCAGUACCAGAGAAUAAGUUAUAAAAAUUAAGUUACGUGUUGCAUCUGCUAUUACGAGAACAAUAGUUGAAGCUGUUCAGGUUUCUUAUAUUACUGGACGGUCGAAGAUUGAUGUAGGUAACUGUGCUCUGUCCACGGCUCUCCACAGUUCCCUUCCAUUGGUUUGCAAUAUUUCGUAAGUUGAUAGUAGGAAAAGAAAAUAGUGGAAGCUUGAGUGUUGUAACCUCAGUUGACCUAAAAGAGACAUGUACGGAUGUACCUUCUUUUCAAGCUCUUGAAUGCUAAUGGGGAUUUCUACUAGAGACGGUCUUUCCGUGAUGAAUUACGUGUACGAAUUUAGGAAUUAGAAUGAGUCAUGGGAGAAGCCACCAAAGAUUCUGAUUUCUCUAAGAGACUUGAGAUUGGAUCGGUUGGCCUUACAAGUAAAAACUUACGAAGCCAACCAAUAUCCUGGGAAUUCAAGAUAUCAACAAUGGCAUGAUAAGAAGACAACCCAUCACCCUGAAUUACUUCAAUCAAACACAAGACCUCAAUCAAUAUCCACCCAAUCAUAACAUUGCUCAUAUCCUCCAAAACCUCAUCCAUAUCGUUAUAGUCAACAAUACCGUCAUCCGCAUCCUGAAACCUGCCCCUCAAAAUCGUGAUCAAUCUGUUCGUUUCGCGACAUGCAUUCCCAACUGGAACACCAACCCUUAGAAACUCUCUCAAAAUAGCUUCGUCCAAUUCUAAAACUUCAGCCAGUGUCGUCACAACCGUUCUGCUCCUAUCACUCAUAUUGAACACAUAGCACUGCCGAAGGUGAAUGAAAUCCCAUGACGACAACUCAGCCAUCACUGACGUUAUCGUUACUUAUACCUUUAAUACUUUACGUUGGCAUGAACGAUCCAAAGAAUUGUAUCUACUUAUAUAGAAGACCAAGGUGCAUGCUCACCAUUUAAAUUAAUUAAAAGAACCUUUUCGGUAA